AAACUUACCUGGCAGGGGAUGUACCAUGAUCGAAAAGUUGGUUUUACCAGGGUGAAGCUUAUCUGGAUGUGAUUUUCAAAUGCAGGAAACUGAACCACACAAUUCGUGGCAGUGGAGGAUUGCCUUUAUGUUUUCCCUUG
ensembl:snRNA U1 U1 spliceosomal RNA